GACUCUUCCACUACAGAUGCUGCUGCUAAGAGUUGGGGAUAUACUCUUGUAUUAUCUCUUAUAUUUCGGGAUUGAUAUAGACUAGUUAGUUGUAAUCAGUUUGACUUGUAACUCUUUGAUGUAAUUCAUUCCUAUAAAUACAAACACACAACCUCUCUCAUAUUCAACUGAGUUGAGCAUCAACAACUGUUUAAGCCUUUUAUAAUCUUAUGUGUGAUUAUUUCUCCUUUAUGGUAUCACAGAGCUAAGAAAGUCUCACGACAACCCUAGAAUUUUUUUUUCCUUCUUUGCCAUGGCCUCUUCUGCAUCUUCCCCCUCUGACUCCUCUUCUGCCCUACCCCCUUCUGCUAUCCCUAAUGUCUCCAAUUUUUGACGAUCAAGCUUGAUCGUACCAACUAUCCUCUUUGGCAUGCGCAAAUGCUUCCCCUGCUUCGUAGCAGGAACCUCGUCUUCUUCGUUGAUGGCACUAGUCAGUGUCCUUCGGCUUUUCUCAAAGAUUCUGACGGCAAUCUCACCAAUACUGUCAACCCCGCUUUCGAACUCUGGAUGCAGCAGGAUGCCAUGGUUAUAUCAUGGAUCAACAGUUCCGUUCACCCCACUGUUUUGGCCACUCUUAUUGGCAAAACUAGUUCUCACUCCACUUGGACUUCUCUCCGUGAGCGUUAUGCUUCCACAUCAACUGGUCGUCUUUUGCAACUCCGGAGUGAUCUGAUGAACACACAUCGUGGUGAUUCAUCCAUUGCUGAUUUUUUGGAUCGUGUGAACUCUCUCGCUGACACUCUAUCUCUCUCGGGGUCUCCUGUUUCAGACUCGGACUUGGUAGCCAUUGUUCUCAACAAUGUUGGUCCUGCGUUUGAAAGCACUGUCUCGUCUGCUCAAGCUCGAGAGGAUGCCAUCUCCUAUGGUGCUUUGGAGGCCUUGCUUCUCGGUGCCGAACGUCGUCAAAAGAUGAGUCAGGUGCUCUACCUUGAUGCUGCCCCUACUGCUCUCGUUGCUGGCCGUGGAGGGCGCGGUUUUCAGGCCGGUCGUGGUCGUGGUUUUCAUGCUGCUGUGGGUCGUGGCGGUCGUGGUCCUGUUCAAGGUGGUCGUGGCGUGAUUCGACAACCAGGAGCUCAUGCUCUUCCUGAUGGUGUUCUUGGUGUUGGCCCUCAGCAAGGUCAUGGCUUUAAUCCCAAUGGUCGUGUUCAGUGUCAAAUCUGCCACAAACCUGGUCACUCUGCUAUCAAUUGCUACAAUCGUAUGAACAUGGCAUACGAAGGUCGCAUUCCUGCGCCCAAGCUUCAGGCCUUUGCUGCCGCUGCUCAUGCUCCUGACCAUCUCCCUGUGGCUCCCCCCUCAAGUUCAAAAUUGGCUCUUUGAUUAUGGAGCUAAUGCUCAUAUUACGAAUGAUCUCACACAAGUGGCUGAUCCCCGAGAGUACAAUGAAAAUCACCAUGUGAAUGGUGUAGUUGGCGGCACAGGUUUGCAUAUCUCUAAAGUUAGUCACUCACAUAUUCGCACUCCCUCCCAUACCUUUAAUCUUUCCAACACCUUAUAUUGUCCCAAUGCUUCUACCAAUAUUAUUUCUAUCAAUCGUUUUACUAUGGAUAACCACUGCUCCCUAACCUUAUAUCCCCAUUCUUAUCGUGUUCAGGACUUAACAACAGGGAGGACCCUUUUGCAAGGCCGGAGUAAGAACGGCUUCUAUCCUUUUUCCAGUCUUUCAUCAAACAAUAAACAUGGCGUUUUUGCAUUUUAUGGUGGUUGCGUCUCUGAUGCAGUGUGGCACUCUAGAUUAGGGCAUCCUUCUUCUUCUAUUUUAAAGUUUUUAGUUGCUAGAAAUAAAUUGCCAAUUCAUGGCCAUGUGACUUCUGCUCUAUGUCAUUCUUGUCCUCUAGGCAAAAGUCACAAGCUUCCCUUCCCGCUUUCCAGUUCAAAUUCCCAAUUUCCUUAAGAUUUAAUUCAUUCGGAUGUAUGGACUUCCCCGUCUUACUCGAUUGAUGGAUUUAAAUAUUAUGUGAUUUUAGUUGAUGAUUAUUCGCGCUACUCUUGGAUAUAUCCUUUAAAACUAAAAUCCGACGUGUUUAAUACUUUUGUCACUUUUAAGAAACUCGUUGAAAAUAUGUUUAGUAGACAAAUCAAAUCUUUGCAAACGGAUGGUGGUGGUGAAUAUAUGAAUCAUGUUUUUAAAACCUAUUUAUCCUCUCAUGGCAUUCAUCAUCGUUUUACAUGUCCUCAUCACCCUGAACAAAAUGGCCUUGCCGAACGUAAACAUCGACAUAUGGUUGAAACUGGCCUUACUCUUCUUGCUUAUGCAUCCAUCCCUGUCACGUUUUGGGUAGAAGCCUUUCACACUGCCAAUUAUUUGAUUAAUCGCUUGCCCACCAAAGUUUUACAUAAUGCAUCUCCCUUUCAAAAAUUAUUCUCCACUCCUCCUAACUAUGAAUUUUUAAAGGUUUUUGGUUGUGCAUGCUUCCCAUAUCUUCGCCCAUAUAGUCAAACCAAACUUCAAUUUCGGUCUAAAAAGUGUAUUUUUCUUGGAUAUUCUUUAAAUCAGCUGGGCUAUCGUUGUUUUGAUCCAUCCACAGGCAAACUUUUUAUGUCUCGCCAUGUUAUUUUUGAUGAAAAAUGCUUUCCCUAUAAGGAUAUGGUUGUUCCUCCGGUUCUGCAUGCUCCAUCCCCUGACAUGAUCAACAUUGACCACAUCCUGCCACCUACAGUCUCAAAUCCCACCACCUCUCACCAUCUCAAUCCUAUUACCUUGCCAACUCCUUCUCUCCUGCCACCUACAAACCCACUCGCCCACACUACCCACCGUGUCCACCCUAUACCCUUGCCACCUAAUCCUACCCCACCUCUACCUUUAUCUACUCCUACUCCACCGCUUGCCAACCUUACUAUCCCUAUCAUAUCAUUCACUAUUCCUCCAGACUCCACUAUUUCCCAUACCUCUAACCCUUCCCCAUCCUUACCUUCCCUUGCGAAUAUUGGGAUCACGAGCACUGUGCCACUGACACCUCGUCCACCAUCUCACUCCAUGCUUACUCGAGCCAAAGAUGGCAUUUGUAAACCUAAUCCCCGCUAUGCUUUAAUUGCUGUCACUAAUACUUUGGUUGAACCUUCUAGUUUUACACAGGCUAACAAAUGUCCUCGGUGGCAUCAAGCCAUGGCUGAGGAGUUCACAGCUCUCCAACGCACUGGCACUUGGACUCUUGUGCCGCUUCAACCAUAUCUUAAUGUUCUUCCAAAUAAAUGGGUUUACAGAAUCAAACGCAAAUCCGAUGGCUCCAUCGAACGCUUUAAAGCCCGACUUGUUGCUAAUGGCUUUCAUCAGCAGGAAGGCCUUGACUACGCCGAAACGUUUAGUCCUGUGGUUACUCACACCACCAUUCGCUUAAUUAUUUCUGUUGCACUGCACUACAAUUGGUCUAUCCGACAGUUGGACAUUCAGAACGCCUGCUUACAUGGUUCCCUCUCUGAAGAUGUCUAUAUGUGACAACCCCAGGGCUUUGUUGAUCCUCAGUUUCCAACUCAUGUCUGCAAAUUGCAACGUUCACUUUACGGACUCAAACAAGCCCCCAUGGCGUGGUUUCAGUGCUUCUCCAAUCAUCUAGAGGCACUCGGGUUCGUUGCUUCCCAAGCUGACUCAUCCUUAUUUACUUACUUUGAUGGCACCACCAUUAUUUAUCUCUUGAUUUACGUUGAUGACAUUUUGGUCACUGGAAAUAAUAGUUCGCAGAUUGCCCAACUCAUUGCUAAGCUUGGCUCCCUUUUCUCUAUGAAAGAUCUUGGGCCCCUACAUUAUUUUCUAGGAAUGGAGGUUACUCGUACCACAUCUGGAUUUCAUUUGUCCCAUGCCAAAUAUAUCAGGGACCUUCUUCAAAGAACACACAUGGUCGACUGCAAGCCCAUCCAAACGCCAUCAUCUCAUGGUCGUCGUUUGCUUCUUCACGAAGAAGAUCAUCUUUCUGAUGCUACUGAAUACCGUAGUGUCAUGGGUGCCCUUCAAUAUUUGCUCUUUACUCGUCCCGACAUUGCCUUCUCUGUCAAUCAAGUAUGUCAGUUCAUGCACUCUCCCACAACGGUACACUGGGCUGCUGUCAAACGCAUUUUGUGUUAUCUUAAGGGCACUCAUGAUCAUGGCUUGCUCUAUCGUCCAAGUUCCCUAUCCAUCACAGCUUAUGCGGAUGCGGACUAUGCCGGUGAUCCUAAUGAUAGUCGUUCCACAGGCGGUUAUUGUAUUUUUCUUGGAUCUAAUUUAAUUUCAUGGAGCUCCAAGAAACAACGUGGCGUUUCUCGCUCAAGCACUGAAGCUGAGUAUCGUCAACUCACUUAUACUGCCACUACUUUGUCUUGGUUUCGCAAUUUAUUUCAUGAUCUUCAUCUUUAUCUUACACCCCCUCAGUUAUGGUGUGAUAAUAUAAGUGCUCUUGCCGUUGCUUCGAACCCUGUAUAUCAAGCACGCAUGCGACAUGUUGAAGUUGAUUACCAUUAUGUUCGUGAGAAGGUUACUCGGAAGGAAAUUAUUGUGGGAUAUGUUGCAUCUCCGGAUCAGGUAGCAGAUUUUCUGACCAAAGGCUUGUCUUCCACUCGGUUUCAAUUUCUUAUUUCCAAGCUUCCCGUUCUUGGUCGACCGCUUAGCUUGCGGGAGCGUGAUAAACCAUAACUUGGUUGUUUGCUGUGACUCUUCCACUACAGAUGCUGCUGCUAAGAGUUGGGGAUAUACUCUUGUAUUAUCUCUUAUAUUUCGGGAUUGAUAUAGACUAGUUAGUUGUAAUCAGUUUGACUUAUAACUCUUUGAUGUAAUUCAUUCCUAUAAAUACAAACACACAACCUCUCUCAGAUUCAACUGAGUUGAGCAUCAACAACUGUUUAAGCCUUUUAUAAUCUUAUGUGUGAUUAUUUCUCCUUUAC
rnacentral:lncRNA from 1 species